ensembl:lncRNA LINC01096 long intergenic non-protein coding RNA 1096
UCCGGAAGACGCGGAACGUAGCCCCUUUCUCACACUCCUGGGACACAAAAAUACCCGACAACUCAAAGUCGCCAAACCACAUCUUUUCAUGCUUUGAAGACUUCUGCCCAAGGCUGUGGCAGGAGUACCCUACAAGGUUUGCACAAAGCAAGAAAGCAUCAUGUAACCGAAAUGCUGAAAAGUAUAGAUGCUGCAAAACCUCAUUCUGAGACUGAGAACUAUGAAUAGUCAGUGUAUUUCCUUCUGCGGUGCAGAAAAAGAACAACCAAAAAGAAAGCAACAAGGGGAGAUGUUAUUUAUUUUAAUGACACCAAAACUACCAAUCCUAGCAAUUUAAUAAAUUAAAAUCAUAGUCCUUUAAAUGUA